CUGCCUACGGGGCGCAGCAGUGGGGAAUAUUGCGCAAUGGGCGAAAGCCUGACGCAGCGACGCCGCGUGAGGGAUGAAGGUUCUCGGAUCGUAAACCUCUGUCAGAAGGGAAGAAAUUAUAUCAUGCUAAUCAGUGGUGUAUUGACGGUACCUUCAAAGGAAGCCACGGCUAACUACGUGCCAGCAGCCGCGGUAAUACGUAGGUGGCAAGCGUUAUCCGGAUUUAUUGGGUGUAAAGGGCGUGUAGGCGGGAAUGCAAGUCAGAUGUGAAAACUAUGGGCUCAACCCAUAGCCUGCAUUUGAAA
rnacentral:rRNA from 1 species